rnacentral:rRNA from 1 species
UAGCCAUGCAUGUCUAAGUAUAAGCAAUUAUACCGUGAAACUGCGAAUGGCUCAUUAAAUCAGUUAUCGUUUAUUUGAUAGUACCUUACCACUUGGAUAACCGUGGUAAUUCUAGAGCUAAUACAUGCUAAAAACCCCGACUUCGGAAGGGGUGUGUUUAUUAGAUAAAAAACCAAUGCCCUUCGGGGCUCCUUGGUGAUUCAUGAUAACCUAACGGAUCGCAUGGCCUUGCGCCGGCGACGGUUCAUUCAAAUUUCUGCCCUAUCAACUUUCGAUGGUAAGGUAUUGGCUUACCAUGGUUUCAACGGGUAACGGGGAAUUAGGGUUCGAUUCCGGAGAGGGAGCCUGAGAAACGGCUACCACAUCCAAGGAAGGCAGCAGGCGCGCAAAUUACCCAAUCCCGACACGGGGAGGUAGUGACAAUAAAUACUGAUACAGGGCUCUUUUGGGUCUUGUAAUUGGAAUGAGUACAAUUUAAACCCCUUAACGAGGAACAAUUGGAGGGCAAGUCUGGUGCCAGCAGCCGCGGUAAUUCCAGCUCCAAUAGCGUAUAUUAAAGUUGUUGCAGUUAAAAAGCUCGUAGUUGAAACUUGGGUCUGGCUAGCGGGUCCGCCUCACCGCGUGCACUUGUCCGGCUGGACCUUUCCUUCUGGAGAACCUCAUGCCCUUCACUGGGUGUGUUGGGGAACCAGGACUUUUACUUUGAAAAAAUUAGAGUGUUCAAAGCAGGCCUUUGCUCGAAUACGUUAGCAUGGAAUAAUAGAAUAGGACGUGCGGUCCUAUUUUGUUGGUUUCUAGGAUCGCCGUAAUGAUUAAUAGGGAUAGUCGGGGGCAUCAGUAUUCAAUUGUCAGAGGUGAAAUUCUUGGAUUUAUUGAAGACUAACUACUGCGAAAGCAUUUGCCAAGGAUGUUUUCAUUAAUCAGUGAACGAAAGUUAGGGGAUCGAAGACGAUCAGAUACCGUCGUAGUCUUAACCGUAAACUAUGCCGACUAGGGAUCGGGCGAUGUUUCUAUCUUGACUCGCUCGGCACCUUACGAGAAAUCAAAGUUUUUGGGU